AGUGUAGAACUAAAAUUGAGAUAAAUUGCUGUCAAAAAUUCUGAUAGACUUGAGAAUGAAAAACAACAUUUCAUCAACAAAACAGAUGAAAAUAGCAAACAGGAAGUUGACAAAGAGAUUGUUACCUCAAGUCUGAAGUGGUUCAAUGCAAAUCAUGAGCUUCAUUCAUGCAUUGCUGGUAUUCACAAAGUGCCAUGAUUUAAGAUAAAGACUAUCUGAUGUUUAGGUAAUGUUUGAUGCUUCCAAGUCUGGAUAUUUUGGAAAAAAAGUGAAAAUGAAGGAAGGAUUUCAACACACAGAAAAUAAUUUUUAAGAGAGAGAGACUCAGUUACAAAAUAUAACUCCACAAUUAAUUUGCUGUGAUGGAAUAUGGACUAAAACACUAAUGGACUCAGGAACAAGGGAAAGAGACUUAAACAAAACAAUAGACUCAGGAAUAUGUUGUGCAAAACAAGAGACUUAAAAAAAGACAAAAAAAUAGACUCAGGAAUAUGAUUUGCACGACAAGAAACUUAUUAAACAACAAAACUAACGAAUAUAAUUAGUGAUGAAAUAAAAACUUGGUUUAGCAUGAACUUUUUUAUUUAUUAGUUAUAAAUUUGAGGAGAGAAAGUCGAAUAUAAUUUUUAGAGAUGAAAUGUGUG